GGACCUCUGUGAUGUCCAGCACUGGGCUCUGAGUACCCUGAGGACAUGGUGCCCCCCUGAACCUUUGACACCCCAGGGGUCUGAGGGGCCC
rnacentral:snoRNA from 1 species